rnacentral:rRNA from 1 species
UACGGGGGGGGCAAGCGUUGUUCGGAAUUACUGGGCGUAAAGGGCUCGUAGGUGGCCAACUAAGUCAGACGUGAAAUCCCUCAGCUUAACUGGGGAACUGCGUCUGAUACUGGAUGGCUUGAGAUUGGGAGAGGGACGCGGAAUUCCAGGUGUAGCGGUGAAAUGCGUAGAUAUCUGGAGGAACACCGGUGGCGAAGGCGGCGUCCUGGACCAACACUGACACUGAGGAGCGAAAGCCAGGGGAGCGAACGGG